rnacentral:rRNA from 1 species
AUUGAACGCUGGCGGCAGGCCUAACACAUGCAAGUCGAACGAGUGGCGGACGGGUGAGUAAUGUCUGGGAAACUGCCUGAUGGAGGGGGAUAACUACUGGCAACGGUAGCUAAUACCGCAUACCAUCAGAUGUGCCCAGAUGGGAUUAGCUUGUGGGUGGGGUAACGGCUCACCAAGGCGACGAUCCCUAGCUGGGCUGAGAGGAUGACCAGCCACACUGAAACGUAGACACGGGCCAGACCCCGACGGGAGGCAGCAGAGGGUAAUAUUGCACAAUGGGAGCAAGCCUGGUGCAUCCAUGCCGCGUGUAUGAAGAAGGCCUUCGGGUUGUAAAGUACUUUCAGCGGGGAGGCGUUACCCGCAGAAGAAGCACCGGCUAACUCCGUGCCAGCAGCCGCGGUAAUUC